rnacentral:rRNA from 1 species
AUUGAACGCUGGCGGCAGGCCUAACACAUGCAAGUCGAACGAGAGGCGGACGGGUGAGUAAUGUCUGGGAAACUGCCCGAUGGAGGGGGAUAACUACUGUAAAAGGUAGCUAAUACAGCAUACCAUCGGAGGUGCCCAGAUGGGAUUGGCUAGUAGGGGGGGUAACGGCUCACCUAGACGACGAUCCCUAGCUGGCCUGAGAGGAUGACCAGCCACCCUGGAAUGUGUACACGUUCCAGACUCCUCCGGUAGGAAGCAGUGUGGACUUUUGCACAAUGGGCGCAAGCUUGAUGCAGCCAUGCCUCGUGUAUGAAGAAGGCCUUCGGGUUGUAAAGUACUUUCAGCGAGGAGGCGUUACUCGCAGAAGAAGCAUCGGCUAACUCCGUGCCAGCAGCCGCGGUAAUAC